GUGUGGAAGCACGGUGAACCCCAGUUACUGCACGUGCAACUGUGUUCAAUUGGGUGACAGGCUUCGCAUGUGACAACGAAACAGUGAAAAAGGGAUCCAGCAGUUGUCGUCCCAGAACAUGAAGAACUCCGCAAAUUAUUCAAAGACUGUCGGAACUGAUCCCCUGCGUGGUCACCGAUUCCCCUAUAGUGACGCCUUACAUGAUGCUGUCAAGAAUGGGUACGGGACACCCCCAAACAAUGGUGCUACAUCACAGUAGCGCAGAGUAUCAUGUUAAAUUUAGUUCAGCCGCACAUUCUCUAAUAGAUUUGUUGUGGCAAAGUACCAGGAAACAUGAAGUUAUACUUUCCCACUGUGAAUGUAGGAAGUUUGUAAUCUGGCAGUAACACACGAUUUUGUUGUUCACGGGGACCUAGGUUUGUGUCCUGUUUGCAGAUAUUUUACUCUGCAGUGAAAUUUCAGAAUGUGCUGAAUUUGAGGUUGUCGCUGUGGUUUGCAGCCUGUGUGAGAUUGCAGAAGCCCUGUGCCAGUGUAAUGUUUGUCAUUCUGCACUUUGAGAGUGUGCAUUCUGUCUCAUAAAUGAAAUUCUUGGCCACAUGAGGUUCAGCGAAUGUCCUUCAAGAUUUUGAAACCACAGAUGGAAGGAACAAGGUGCACGUGGCUGGUUGCAGAGGUACGGAAGGAUUCUGAAGAAAAUGAGCAAAUACGAAUUACAAAGAGGACAGGGAAGUGUUUAUCAUGGUUAGUACCCACUUCACUCUGUUGCCACUUUUUAAAAGAAGGAACGUGUGGUUGCCAGUCUGAUUGUUGCACUGACAUUCAGUUGUCUGUUGGGUAAGUAGAUAUUCAGUGAGAAUUUCAAACAGAACAAAAUAUAAUGUGCCAUGUAACUUUGAAAUGCUCCUCCAUUUCUCUACAAUUGAGUACACAUAUUUUACCUGACACAGAGGAUGAUGAUACUCUGCAGUGAAGGCAUGCAUUCCGUAUAUUAAAGUCUAACAGAUCUGUUGAAUGCCAUUUCAUGCACUUCUGAAAUUUUCCGCAUAAUACGUAGUAGAAUGUAUGAACAGUAGUUUAUUAUGACUGUUGGCUCCCAUGUGCCACUUUAAAAAUGAAGAAGGAUGUUGAAUGUAGUCCUCAGCUGGCAGAUGGUACCAUCGGUUUCAAAGCUGGAGAUGCGUUAGUCUGCUAUGACAUAAAGGAAGAUGAAUAUCAACGGAUUAACUAGAAUCCAGGAUUUUGAUAGGUUGCAUGUGCUGUAAUGAAAUUCCCAUUUUAUUGUGUCAGAAACGCACACCAGAGAUUCCAAAAUUUGACCUCCUUCAGAACAGUUUUCAGGAACAUACAUACCUAGUAAUUUUGAAGACAGUACUCAAAUUCAUGUUUGCCGUAGAAAUGUCUGUAAAUAACUGCGUACUCUUAUAGACAUUUAUAACCGGAGAUUUUGCUUGACAAGAGAUUUGUAUUAGCCUCAUGUAGUUGUAAAUUAGGGAACUGAUGUGGAUGUUCCUCAUUGAGCGUACAAAAUAUUUUUAGAAGCUAAAUUUAUUCUUGGUAUGCAGGAAAAGGUAAAUGUGAGGAUGGAAUGGAUUUUGCUAUUCACAAUAAUAGCUAGAAGCUGCACUCACAAAGUCACUACAUUGGCUUCAAUUGUUGUAGGAAAUAAAUGGUGAAAGUGAAGUUGCUGGUGCUUAUAGUAAGCAACGUUGCAUGUAGACAUAUUGGAGGGGUUUGGAGGUAAAGCUCCAUGCAUUCUUAACCUUGGCAAUAGAAGGAGGCGAGUGGUCUGGGGAAGCUGCCAGUUUACUGAAUUAGUUAGGAUGUUCCCUGGCCUUUGUAGAACCCAAAGAAUUCAUUACCAUGUUUGCAAGAGCAUAUCAACAGUCUGUAUUCUAAGGCAGAUGAAACUAAUUCACACUCACAAAAUAUUAUUUGGUGCAGUUUUGUAGAGCUUCCUGCUUCAUUCUUUUCCAUUGUAAUACAUUUUCCUGAUUCAGUGUUAAUACUGUUAGUUUCAAGGUUUUAAUGAAGAAAAGAAUGUAAAUAAUACACGGGCAGCUUUUGUAUAUGCUGUUCAGGAAAGAUAGCCUUAAAGUUAUGUAUGUAAAAUUUCUCACUUAUGUAGUAGCAGAAAAAUUCAUGUUUCUGUACUUCAGAAACAAGCUGAUGGAUGACUGAUUUGGUUAUCAAUAAUUUUGUAGAGACGUUUUCUGUACUUCUCUUCUGCAGAAUUUCCUGUGUCAGGUUUUGCCUUCUUGAUUUCCCUGGUUUUUGUAAGAGAAUUAAGAACAGUGUGUCAUGUUCAUUUUGCAUGUGACUUUGAAUUUCUCUUAUUUUGUGAAUAAAAUCUAUAUCCAGACCUCCUGUCUGUAAUAUAUGAACCAAAAUGUAAGAAUUUGUGAACACAGAAAUGAAGGAUUUGAGCA